AGCGAACGCUGGCGGCAUGCUUAACACAUGCAAGUCGCACGCCCAGCAAUGGGAGUGGCGGACGGGUGAGUAACGCGUAGGAAUGUGUCCAGAGGUGGGGGACAACCCCGGGAAACUGGGGCUAAUACCGCAUAUGAGCUGAGGCUCAAAGCAGUAAUGCGCCUUUGGAGCAGCCUGCGUCCGAUUAGGUAGUUGGUGGGGUAAUGGCCUACCAAGCCUGCGAUCGGUAGCUGGUCUGAGAGGACGAUCAGCCACACUGGGACUGAGACACGGCCCAGACAACGACGGGAGGCAGCGGUGGGGAAUAUUGGACAAUGGGGGCAACCCUGAUCCAGCAAUGCCGCGUGUGUGAAGAAGGUCUUCGGAUCGUAAAGCACUUUCGGCGGGGACGAUGAUGACGGUACCCGCAGAAGAAGCCCCGGCUAACUUCGUGCCAGCCGCCGCGGUAAAAC
rnacentral:rRNA from 1 species